rnacentral:rRNA from 1 species
AAUUCCUAGUGUAGCGGUGAAAUGCGUAGAUAUUAGGAGGAACACCAGUGGCGAAGGCGGCUUACUGGACUGUAAUUGACGUUGAGGCUCGAAAGCGUGGGGAGCAAACAGGAAUAGAUACCCUGGUAGUCCACGCCGUAAACGAUGAUUACUAGGUGUCGGGGGGUAUGGACCCUCCGGUGCCGCAGCAAACGCAGUAAGUAAUCCACCUGGGGAGUACGUUCGCAAGAAUGAAACUCAAAGGAAUUGACGGGGACCCGCACAAGCGGUGGAGCAUGUGGUUUAAUCCGAAGCAACGCGAAGAACCUUACCAAGUCUUGACAUCUGGAUGACAGGGACGUAACGGUCCCCUUACUUCGGUACAUCCAAGACAGGUGGUGCAUGGUUGUCGUCAGCUCGUGUCGUGAGAUGUUGGGUUAAGUCCCGCAACGAGCGCAACCCUUAUCCUUAGUAGCCAGCGGGCAGGGCCGGGCACUCUAGGGAGACUGCCGGGGAUAACCCGGAGGAAGGUGGGGAUGACGUCAAAUCAUCAUGCCCCUUAUGAUUUGGGCUACACACGUGCUACAAUGGCGUAAACAGAGGGAAGCGAACCCGCGAGGGGGAGCAAAUCCCAAAAAUAACGUCCCAGUUCGGAUUGUAGCCUGCAACCCGGCUACAUGAAGCUGGAAUCGCUAGUAAUCGCGGAUCAGAAUGCCGCGGUGAAUACGUUCCCGGGUCUUGUACACACCGCCCGUCA